rnacentral:rRNA from 1 species
AUGCUGCGGUGCAUUAGUCGUCUCGGCCUGUUCUGGCUCUGUCUGUGUCUCUGCUAUGUCACCUUGUCGGCGGCCCAACCGCUCGUGAGGUCCUUCAGACUCCCGGUGGUUCCUCAUGACCACCUCCGGGCCGCGGACGUGAGGCGGCAGUGCCGCUCCGUGCUCUCCUCAGCCGCCCAGCCAACGGCUGACGGCCCCGUGGUCCAUGAUCUGCACUUCGCCAAUGGCGACUGGCACCAGGACGGCGGCCACGUGCCGCUGAUGCUGUCUCCUGGCGUCGCCGGUCCCGAUCCCGAGCUACUCCAGCAAGCCACCCCUCUUGCGACCUUCACGCUCACGCACGCCGACGACACUGCACAGCGAAGACGUCACGCCAGACGCUCCCUCAAAGUCAGCGGGGUCCUCAGCUUGACCAUCACCCGCAACCGCUGCAGCUCGGACGGCAAGUCCGAGAUGAUGGAUGAUCCACACCACGACCUGUGUCGGUCGCCGGAGUUCAAUCUCCUUCCUUGUGUUGCCAAGCUCAGUGUGGUGUUGGAAGGCAUCUACACAGAGACUGGCGAUGAUGGCGGUGGUGGCGACAGGGUGAUGCGCAUGGUCGGGGAUGCUCUCCUCCCCAUGCGGGGCGGCGGCAACAGCACCAGCACCGGCGGCCCCUAG